rnacentral:lncRNA from 10 species
AUAUGGUAUGCUAAAUACUUACACGGAUAACUUCCCGUUCUGUUUUCUUGUUUGCCCAACUUUACUGUAAGUCACCUGAGGCCAAGGGUUAUGUAAUACACAGAUUGCUGCUGUAAUAUAAUGGAGUGUCUUGUGUGUCGUUUAGUCAGUCCCCUCACUUUAUAGUAUGUAGUACUUCUCUGAUUGACUUGAGAAGUUAAAAGAGAGAGGAAAAUAUGAAGCUAUGUAACAGGACAGUCAUUUGCCACUGGAAAUUGCUGUGAAUGUUCAUGCUACUCCCACCAGCUGGGAGCAUGCUGUUGACUUCCUGUCUUCUUGUGUAGUGGAUACACCGCUGAGGCUGCUGUGCUGAACACAGGGCUGGUUGCAAGGUGGAAGGGAAUAAUUCCCUUCACCCUCUAUUAGGGAUCCACUACCCUCUGCAGUAAACACUGACAGCAUGCAUAGAAGUGACAUCUAUAACUACAUCUCUCUUCAUCUUGGGACAUCUGAAACAUGAAGAAAGCCCGAUAUUGAUAGCAAUUGUGUGGUUUAGCUGAUAGGCAAAGACCCUCAGAUUAUUUGGUAGUCAAAGUUCCGGAGUUGCUCCCAUCAACUCUCCGGGCAGCAAAACCUUGUCCUAAGACACAGAGUGAAUGUCCAGUCUCCACUCUAAUUUUGUGUUUACAUAUUUGACGUGUGACUCACCCUUGUAAUGGAUUCGGGCUGUUUCUGAGAGUGAUAUCUGAAGGGCUUUCAAGUAGAGAUAGUUUAUAAAAUUGGCUAAGGUGACAUUAAGGAGAAUGACUGUACAUAAAUUUCAAGUUAGUAGGUUUUAAUUAAAAUUUUAAAAAUUGUGCUAUGGGGCAACAUUUGAUUCCUCUGUUAGACUAAAGUAGAAAUAACUUUUUUCUGGCUAGGGAGUACCAGUCUUAACAUGUAUGGAAACAAUCGUAGCUGAUUCUAUUUUCAUUUUAUUCUGUCACAUCAGAGACUACAUGUAGGGGGAUCCAGGGAUGGAAUUCCCCUACAAUGGGUCUCCUAAUUAAUCCAGAGUCCUCGUAAAAGAUCACAGAUCUUUUCUUCAGCUCAUUCAUUCAGUCUAACCAGCAUGACAGGCCACCUGUGCACUGGGCCAGCCCUCUGGUUAAUAGGGUCAGAUAUCUGGACAGCAAGCUAAUUUGAAACCCCAGUAGUGUGAGCACCUCAGGAGUUAGAUUCUAAGGUAGGACUGGGAAUGGGUUAGAAGGGAGUACCUUAGUCAAAAUUUUUGUAUUCAAUUUGGGUUAGAGUAAGUGAAUGGAAUCGAACAGAAAAGAUUCUGGAGAAUGGAUGGCAACUAAUAACAUGCGUUUUUAAAAAUCUUGGGAGACUUCUUCACAUUGUUACCUAUUGUUUGUUAUGCUUCGUCAAUUUAAGCCUCAGUGAAGUUUUAAAAAAUGUUUUAAGGCAUGGAAUUUUUUCAAGCUUUUAAGAAACAAAGACUUCCAUGCUAAUUUAAUUUAUAGAAGACGCAAAGCCCCCAAUCUGUUCUACAAAGCAAAACAAAAGACAACACAGAAAGCAAACAACCAGCUUCACUUCUGAAUAUAGACAAAGACAUUCUCAAUAAAACAUUAGCAAAUAUAAUGCAACCUUAUUUCCCGUAAUGCAGUGGGGUGGAUGCCAGGAAUGAUAGGAGUAUUCAAAUUCAGCAAAUACAUUCAUAGAGCUCAUAAGAAGGACCUUAGUGGUGUUGAGGGCUGUUGGGACUACAAAGUGGGAGCCCUUACAAGGUCUUGAGCACAGUAAGGUGAUGUGAUAUGUGGUUAAGUGGACUACUUUGGCUGCUGUGUGAAGAAGUGAUUUAAGGGAGGCAAGAAACUGGGAGUGAGUUAAGAGGUGUGGUGAGCAGAGUAACGGCCCACAAAGAUGUCCACAUCCAAAUCCUCAGAACCUGUGAAUAUGUUAUUUUACAUGAGAAGGGGCAAUUAAAGUUACAGAUGGAACUAUGGUUGCUAAUCAGCUGACCGUGAGGUGGGGAGACAAUCUUGGAUUAUCCAGGUGCAUAAGGAAAUCACAACGGUCCUUAUAAGUGAGAGGAAGGCAGGAGAGAGGGAGGCAGAGUGAUGCAGUGUGGGAAAGACUCGCCCAGCCAUUGUUGGCUUUGAGAUGGAAGGGACCACGAGCCAUACAAUGCAAGGCAUCCAUAGAAGCUCAGUAAGGCAAGAAGAUGACUUCUGCCCGGAGUUUCCAGAUGGAAAGCAGUCCUGCUGACACCUUGAUUUUAGCCCAGUGAGAUCCACUUCAGACUUCUGACCUCCAGAACUGUGAGAACAUAAAUCUGUGUUGCUUUAAGUUGCUCAGUUUGAGGAGUUUGUUGCAGUGGAAAUAGGCUACUAACACAGGUUGGCUACUGCAAUAACCCAAGUGGGAGUUGGCAGCGGCUUGGAUGGGAGUGGUGGCAGAGAAAGUGCCAGGAAGUGGUUGGAUUUUGGACAUGAUCUGAAGUGAAGUCAAUGAGAUUUACCGACAAACAAGGUAUUUGAUUGGGUUUGAAAGAACGGGAAGUCAAUGUGAGUCUCAGUGGAGAGGAGACUUUGAGUUUCCGUAAAGAGGCAGUAGAAUUUGAAAAAGUGCCCCUAAGAGACUGAGCACUUUCUUUUUCCCCCUUCCAGCCCCACCCCUCAUCAUACCCAAAGACCAGUGAUCCGGACUAAAACCAUGCCCAGUGGGUUUUGUGGGCUAUUUUUCUAGACCUACCCCCAAAGGUUGGCCUUUAAGAUAUUGUCACUUCGAUGAAAAGAAUGAUCAAGAAACAAAUUAUUGAAUUAUGCGAUUUACAGCAUCGUUCCUAUCCUCCUGACUGUGAAAGAAAGAGAAUCCUUGAACCUCCCUCCUCCCUUUCUUUCCAAGGGAAACUUUGAAUUUGUUAGCUCAAUGCCUGGGCAGGAACAUCUACUGAGAGAGGCCAGAACAUUUCCAUCAAAGAGGAGGCAAAUAUCUAGUGAGAGAAAAAAGUAGUUCCAAGACUGGGGGCUGGGGCACCAAAAGAAGUUGAGAGCCACCUGCAUGGUUUACUGGAGAAGUGUUGGCAGCAAGCUGGAAAUGAAACGGAGAGAGACUCUUUGAUCCACAAGGUCUGUGAGCAAGAUUGAAAGGAAAGAAAGGAAAAGAGGGUUUUAAGCCACGUUGUCAUGGAUUGGAACUGUAUCUUCUGUGAUAUUCUUUGAGAACAUCGGUAAACAUUGGAAUUGCUUGUGCUAAAAAAUGAAAUUACAUUGCUUAGCCUUGAAACUGUGCAACCUUUCAACUGCUGAUGAAAACAACCUCAGCAAGAUGAAAAUUUCUCCAUUUUCCUGAAACUAUUCUGCAUCAUAAAAUUCAUUGCAGGUGGUACCUUUAAAAAUAAAAGACUUGUAAAAAAUGUUUUUGCAAUUCUUAAUGGUUGUCUUACUUAAUAAUUAGUUGUCCUGGUAAGGGAAUAAUGUUUAAGUCGAUAUCUCAGUUUUCUGAAUGGUGUCCGUGUUGUAAGUUUUCAUUGAUACUUUCUUCUUCCACACGAAUGGA